UCCUCUACCUCACACCGCUCAAAGAAAGUCUUCUCCCCCUCCCUCUCUAUGCUGUGACUCCUUGCCGCCGCAGCCACAUACGCCGGCAGCCUCGUCUUGCUCCGGCGACUCCUCCCACCGCCAGGUACCCUCCUGAGCUUGCCACCCUCCGAUGCGUCCUCCCCUCCUGCUGGAUUUGACGCUCGUGCCCACUAGCAUCCCUCCCCGCGGCUAGGGAUUCGGGUGCGGCGGCGCCUCUCACUUCGGCGAGUUCAAUCCAUCCUCCUUUCUCUUCCUAUCUCUCUCCCUCCCCGUGUCUAAUUUCUGGUCGGGUCUUCUCUUCUAGAUGCGUAGAGAAGAGGGAGAUCCAGCACGCCUCCAUGCCAUGGACCCUUGACGAACGAAGGCCGAGGCGGCCAGUAGGACAAAACAAGCAGGGAGCGACGAUGGCUGUGGCGGAGCGGAGCGGCGGCGGCGUGGUGAAGCACCUCCUCAUCGUGCAGUUCAAGGAGGCCGUGACCCCGGAGCGGCUGGACGGGCUCAUCCGCGGCUACGCCGGCCUCGUCGACAAAGUCCUCUUCAUGAAGGCCUUCCACUAGUACGGGGACCACACAUGUCUUUGAGUCCACUUUUGAAAGCACCAAGAGAGCUUCAGGCAUUGAGGCGUUGAGCCAUUGUAGUAUUGCCGCCUGGACUUGCCGCCACUGCCGGCGGCGAGACCUGGAUUCGACCGGUGACCAUCCCCUCCAGCACGAAAAUCAGCCGUCUCUCCUUGCAGCUACAGAUAACCCAGCAGCCUCUCCUCAUUCUUCAACCUCUUCACUUUUAAUCUUAAGAUUUAUUCCCCUAAGGGACCACUGUUAGGCUGUGUUCGGUAGCCCUCCACUCCUCCACUCGGGAGCGGAGCGGGUGGAGCACCGUAUUAGCAGCUCCUCAAAUUAACACUGCAUGUUGCUCCGCUCCGGAGCGGAGUUGGAGAGCAGGAGGGAGUCCGAACAGGCCUUUAUUAUUUUGGACUUGCUAUGGGGAUGUUAAAACUCGUUGCAAUGUUGUUACUGUCAUGGUUCUCGAUUUAGCUGCUACUCCUCUCGAGCUAUGAUUCCUUGCAACUUCAUGCACCUGAGCUAUUUGCAGAAGGAGGGGAGCUGGCCUUCUUCAUGUAUUGGGGCAGUGCCUUCCUUGGAUUCAAUAAGGAGGGGACCCGGCCUUCUUCACAUCUCGUGCAACAAGGGUGAUUGACACGGACUACCAAGCUCGGUGGGUGUCGUGCACUUCAAACAAACACUCGGAGGCGGAUUCACCGUGAAGCCCAGAGACUGUCGUGUAGAUGAUCGUGCAGGUGAUUGCGACGCCGAAGGUCGCUGAGGUGGAGUACCUCGACGCCAAUGUCCGGCGGGAAGGAGGGUUCGGGUCCACCGACGUUUGAACUCCGAGCCUUGGUAGAUACAUCUAGAGAAGUGGUCUGGUUGUUUGCGUCUGUUGUUAAAUGGGAUCACAUGAUCUUUUUUAGUUGAGAUGUUCAAUGUUGCAUCCAUGAAUGUUGCAAGUGCUGAGAUGGUUAUGUGACCUUUGCACUAGACGUGUCUUGAUUUCAAUCCAUGAAUAUUGCAUCUAA